rnacentral:rRNA from 1 species
CAGCAGCCGCGGGAAAACGAAGUGUGCAAGCGUUGCUCGGAAUGACUGGGCGUAAAGGGCGCGUAGGCGGUUUUGACAGUCAGAUGUGAAAUUCCUGGGCUUAACCUGGGGGCUGCAUUUGAGACGUCAAGACUAGAGUGUGAGAGAGGGUUGUGGAAUUCCCAGUGUAGAGGUGAAAUUCGUAGAUAUUGGGAAGAACACCGGUGGCGAAGGCGGCAACCUGGCUCAUUACUGACGCUGAGGUGCGAAAGCGUGGGGAGCAAACAGGAUUAGAUACCCCCGUAGUCCCUGUCUCUAUACA